AGGAGGAACUCCUGUUGCUGACUGGCUGGCAGCCCUGCAAGUGGAAAUAUUCUGAAUGCAGCAGCCAUGGCCUCAGGAAAUAACCUGAUGGAGAAGCUCCAAGAUGAAGUGUCCUGCUCCAUCUGUCUGGAGUAUCUGAGGGACCCUGUGACCAUCGACUGUGGGCACAACUUCUGCUGUGUGUGCAUCACCGACUAUUGCGAGAGGUGGGAGGGCUCCACGACUGAGGUGUUCUUCUGCCCUCAGUGCAGAGGAGGGUUCCUUCAGACCACGUUUAGGCCCAACAGGCAGCUGGCAAACAUUGUGGAGGGCAUUGAGCAGCUAGCACUGCAGCCAGGCAAGGAGCCCAAGGAGAAGCUGUGUGAGAAGCAUGGCAAGAAGCUGCGUCUGUUCUGCGAGGAUGAUGGGGAGGCCAUUUGCCUGGUGUGCGACAAGUCCCGGGUGCACCGCUCCCACACUGUGAUCCCCAUCGAGGAGGCUGCCCAGGACUACAAGAUGAAACUGCAGGAAGCUCUGGAUCUUUUGAGACAAGUGAUGGGAGAGAUUGCAAAGCUCCAGGCCCAAGAGGGGAAGAAACCCGCUCAGUGGAAGGAGAAGGUGAGGGCACAGAGAAAGCUCAUUGUAGCUGAGUUUGCCAAGCGCCAUCGGGCUCUAGAAGAGGAAGAGCAACUGCUUGUGUGCAGGCUGGAGGAGGAGGAGGAGGAGACUCUGCAGAAGCUUCAGGAGAACGCGGCGUUCCUGGUAGAGCAGAGCUCCAGCCUGGCCCAGCUGAUAACGGAGAUCGAGCAGAAGUGCCAGCAGCCAGCCACUGGCCUGCUCAAGGAUGUGAAAAGCACCUUGAUCAGGAGCCACAGCAUGAAGCUUCAGGAGCCAGAGGCCGUUCACAUGGAGCUACAGGAUUCCUAUGAGGUCCCCAGGGUGAUGGAAACACUGCAGAAAUACGGAGGUAAAGGAGGGCAGAUACAAAGGGGGCAACCAGGAGCUGGGCAUGGCAGUCUAUGAGAAGGGAAUGCAGGGGAGCUCAGGGGGCUGUGUGAUUUCGGGUUCAUGAACAGGGGUGAAAGUAAAAUUGAUCUCUUACCAUUACGGGGGAGGGGGCAUGGCUUCGGCCCCCCCAGAAGGGCUGAGGCCUCGGGCAGAAGGGGUGGGCCUGGGCUCAGCAUCUCCCAGCCCAUCUGCACUGCCUGGCCUGCACUGCCCAUGGCUCCGGCCACUGCUGCGGAGCCCUGGGCUCUUUUAAAUCGCCAGCCCCGGGGCAGCUGCUCCUUUUGCGCCCCCCCCGCCAUUGGUGGCCCAGGGGGAUUGAAAAGGGGAAACGACAUUAAAGUGUUGCCACGGCAGUGCUUUAAGCAGGGUGCUUUGCCGCGGCAGUGCUUUAACGUCGCUGCCCCUUUUGUGUCCCCCCCGUUGGCGGUCCUGAUGGGGGGACACAAAAGGGGCUGCCAAUGGGAGGCGCAAAAGGGGAAGCGACGUUAAAGCGCUGCCAUGGCAGUGCUUUAGGCAGGGUCCGUUAAAGUGGUGCCAUGGCAGCGCUUUAAAGUCAGCUGUACGGGCUGGCACCUGCAGUCACUUUUUACCGGUAUGCCAUACCGGCCCGUACUGCCUUACUUUCACCCCUGCUCAUGGAUCUCUGGAUCAAAGGCAUGAAUCCCCAAAACAAAAUGCUCAGGUGCAGGUUUAUUCAGUGUGUUGAUGAAAGGGGCAUAGGCCCUAGGGAGGAAGGACAGGGCCAGAGAAGAACACAAGUGCCAAGCACAUAAGUGUGUGUGUGUGAGAGACAGCAUGUGUGCUUGUGGGUGUGACUGCAUAUAUGAGUGUGUGUGUGUGUGUAUUAGACAGAUGUGUAGUUUAUCAGCUCUGCUUGUAGGGCCUGUGUGCAUGUCCUAGAUCUGCCUGCAGUUUUAUGCUUGGACAGAGCCCCAAAUCCAGAGCAAAACCAUCAUGAUUUGCCUGGAUCCAGGGCCAAUCUGGGUUCCCCCACCUACCUCAGCCAGGGAUUUUUAGAGAAGAAGCUCCUAAGCCCAGGAGACAUAGGGCUGAUUAGCCCAUACCAGAGCCAAGAGGUGCAACAGUGUCCUUUGUACAGUAGCUGAGAUCCCAGAAACCAAUCCAGCUGUGCUGUGUGGAAUCCUCUGUGUAGAUGUCCGGCUGGUGGGUCAUUCUCACAUGCUCAGAGUCACAAUUUGGCGAUUUGGGAUUGAAGAGGAUUUUGCCCACAUCACACUGGCAAGGGACCUGAUGGGUGGGGCGGGUGUUCACCUUCCUCUGCAGCAGGGAGCAGGAAUCACCUGCUGGGAUCAUCUGGGCAGAUCCUACCUAAUUAAUUUCCUGCCCUGGCAGGGACCUUGGGCAUUGGCAGCACCUCGGUCUCUCCUCUUCUCUGCCUGUGGCCCACAACAAUGGAGUCUCCUGGGGACUGGAAUGCUUUGAUCUGACUGAAAUCAUUUGGCUGUUUUAGACAUAUUCUUACUGUCCAGACUGAGAAAUAAAAUCUCCCUUUGUAUAAACA